CUUGUGAUUUUACUGGUCAUAUAUCAUGCUCAAUUAUUUUAGAGAGUAAGAUUAAAAACCAUACUUAAUCCAUCUUCUUGCUUAACCAAUUCCUCAUGUGUAGAAGAAAUUAAUUUGGUUGUUAGAAUCAAAGAUUUUGCUAUCAUGUGUACUUCACUUCUCAAAAUGUAAAUGGUAAAAGUGAAUGCUCCAUGCUUGUUAAAUCUCAUUGUACUUAAUUAUCCUUAAUUAUAUUCUAACAAUUGAAUUUGACUGAAGUACUACUCUACCUUAAUGGAAAUGGAUUUCCUGUUGUUACAGCAGGACGCUGUAACAGCUAGGGACUGUCCGAUCAUAAUCGUGUGACUGUGAUCGUUUUGAGUAAUUUUGUAAAUGAAUUGUUCGAAUCCGUCCGAUCUGAUAAUGGAUGACUGAGAUGUAAAACAACGUGAAAACUGUGUGAUUCCCAACAACAGGGAAUCCAGAUCCUACCUUAAUAUGCCAAACAAUAUUUAUCAGCAUCCAUCAUUAGCAACAAGAUGUGACUUUAACCAUGUCAUGUGUCACGUGAUCCACACCUACCUUUUCUCUUUGAAUAUUAUUCCAUUCAAGCACCUUGACUUUGAGGCAUGCAUAAUGUCAUUUCUCCAAUUCCA
rnacentral:lncRNA from 1 species